rnacentral:lncRNA from 7 species
ACACGCACCCACAGUCGCCGCGCCUCCGGAUCGAGCCAAACCAAUGCCGAGCUGGACGUCGGCAGCGCCCUCCCUGUCGGCGCGGCGGAUCCGGCGGCGCGCCUUACGCGGAUCCGAAACGCACGGCGGCGCGCUCCCGGGUUCGGACCGCGCGGAUCUGGCUGCGCCUGGCGGUGUACCCGGCAGCUCGGCAGCGACGUGGCGAGGGGAGAGGCGGAGACGACGGCGGCGAGGUACGUGGUGCUCUCGCUUUUUUUUUCGCGCUCGCAGCUCGGGGACGGUGAGGGAGGUGGGAGGAGGUGCUGGACUUGGACGGGUGGAGGAGCGCCAAG